rnacentral:rRNA from 1 species
AGAGUUUGAUCCUGGCUCAGGAUGAACGCUGGCGGCGUGCUUAACACAUGCAAGUCGAACGAUCCUUCGGGAUAGUGGCGGACGGGUGAGUAACGCGUGGGAAUCUGCCCUCAGGAGGGGGAUAACGGCUGGAAACGGCCGCUAAUACCCCAUAUGCCGAGAGGUGAAAUGAAUUUCGCCUGAGGAUGAGCCCGCGUCUGAUUAGCUAGUUGGUGGGGUAAAGGCCUACCAAGGCAACGAUCAGUAGCUGGUCUGAGAGGAUGAUCAGCCACACUGGGACUGAGACACGGCCCAGACUCCUACGGGAGGCAGCAGUGGGGAAUUUUCCGCAAUGGGCGAAAGCCUGACGGAGCAACGCCGCGUGAGGGAUGAAGGCCUCUGGGCUGUAAACCUCUUUUCUCAAGGAAGAAGACCUGACGGUACUUGAGGAAUAAGCCACGGCUAAUUCCGUGCCAGCAGCCGCGGUAAUACGGGAGUGGCAAGCGUUAUCCGGAAUUAUUGGGCGUAAAGCGUCCGCAGGCGGCCUUGUAAGUCUGUUGUUAAAGCGUGGAGCUCAACUCCAUUUAAGCAAUGGAAACUACAAGGCUGGAGUGUGGUAGGGGCAGAGGGAAUUCCCGGUGUAGCGGUGAAAUGCGUAGAUAUCGGGAAGAACACCAGUGGCGAAGGCGCUCUGCUGGGCCAUAACUGACGCUCAUGGACGAAAGCCAGGGGAGCGAAAGGGAUUAGAUACCCCUGUAGUCCUGGCCGUAAACGAUGAACACUAGGUGUCGGGGGAAUCGACCCCCUCGGUGUCGUAGCCAACGCGUUAAGUGUUCCGCCUGGGGAGUACGCACGCAAGUGUGAAACUCAAAGGAAUUGACGGGGGCCCGCACAAGCGGUGGAGUAUGUGGUUUAAUUCGAUGCAACGCGAAGAACCUUACCAGGGUUUGACAUCCUGCGAACCCCUGAGAAAUCGGGGGGUGCCUUCGGGAGCGCAGAGACAGGUGGUGCAUGGCUGUCGUCAGCUCGUGUCGUGAGAUGUUGGGUUAAGUCCCGCAACGAGCGCAACCCACGUCUUUAGUUGCCAGCAUUCAGUUGGGCACUCUAGAGAGACCGCCGGUGAUAAACCGGAGGAAGGUGUGGAUGACGUCAAGUCAUCAUGCCCCUUACAUCCUGGGCUACACACGUACUACAAUGCUACGGACAAAGGGCAGCAAGCUCGCGAGAGUUAGCAAAUCCCAUAAACCGUGGCUCAGUUCAGAUCGUAGGCUGCAACUCGCCUACGUGAAGGAGGAAUCGCUAGUAAUCGCAGGUCAGCAUACUGCGGUGAAUACGUUCCCGGGCCUUGUACAC